AUUGAACGCUGGCGGCAUGCCUUACACAUGCAAGUCGAACGGCAGCACGGGUGCUUGCACCUGGUGGCGAGUGGCGAACGGGUGAGUAAUACAUCGGAACGUACCUUAUCGUGGGGGAUAACGCAGCGAAAGCUGUGCUAAUACCGCAUACGCCCUGAGGGGGAAAGCGGGGGAUCGAAAGACCUCGCGCGAUUAGAGCGGCCGAUGCCUGAUUAGCUUGUUGGUGGGGUAAAAGCCCACCAAGGCGACGAUCAGUAGCUGGUCUGAGAGGACGAUCAGACACACUGGGACUGAGACACGGCCCAGACUCCUACGGGAGGCAGCAGUGGGGAAUUUUGGACAAUGGGGGCAACCCUGAUCCAGCAAUGCCGCGUGAGUGAAGAAGGCCUUCGGGUUGUAAAGCUCUUUUGUCAGGGAAGAGACACCGGCUCUAACACAGUCCGUGAAUGACGGUACCUGAAGAAUAAGCACCGGCUAACUACGUGCCAGCAGCCGCCGCAG
rnacentral:rRNA from 1 species